GAUGAACGCUGGCGGCGUGCCUAAUACAUUCAAGUCGAGCGAACGGACGAGAAGCUUGCUUCUCUGAUGUUAGCGGCGGACGGGUGAGUAACACGUGGAUAACCUACCUAUAAGACUGGGAUAACUUCGGGAAACCGGAGCUAAUACCGGAUGAUAUUUUGAACCGCAUGGUUCAAAAGUGAAAGACGGUCUUGCUGUCACUUAUAGAUGGAUCCGCGCUGCAUUAGCUAGUUGGUAAGGUAAUGGCUUACCAAGGCAACGAUGCAUAGCCGACCUGAGAGGGUGAUCGGCCACACUGGAACUGAGACACGGUCCAGACUCCUACGGGAGGCAGCAGUAGGGAAUCUUCCGCAAUGGGCGAAAGCCUGACGGAGCAACGCCGCGUGAGUGAUGAAGGUCUUCGGAUCGUAAAACUCUGUUAUUAGGGAAGAACAUAUGUGUAAGUAACUGUGGACAUCUUGACGGUACCUAAUCAGAAAGCCACGGCUAACUACGUG
rnacentral:rRNA from 1 species